AUACACAAGAAAAUAUUAAUGUGCUAUGAUUUGGAUAAAUAACUUUAAUCUGAUUACUGGAUUUGAAAUACGAACUCGUUAGAUUAUUCGUUACCGAAAAAGUGGUCCGAUUAAAGGCAUUACAAAGCAGCGGCGGCACCGGACAUCUCUGCUUAUAACAAACAAAUCCCUAUUUUAUGGGAUGAGUGGCAACUCCAGUCUAUAAUUUAAUAAUCUGAUCAAGAUUAGAGCCUAAAACGUUAUAGUUCAAAAACAGUAAAAAGUUCUGGUUAAGGAACAGUUAUGUCACGUAGUUAGCUAGCUAACAAAAUUCACUAAUGCUAAGCUAACGGUUACGCAAAACAAAAAUACCUACCUUCAUAGUCAAACAGGUAUUGUUCGGUGAAGAAUUUGUAGCCUUUGUCUAAUUUAGAUUUUUUUGUCAGAGAGAACUGGUUUGCAAAUCGUGAUAUAUCUUCAAAUCUUAUUUUAGGCAAAUGUUUUAGAGACUGUGUAAACUCCAUGCUCCGGUGAUCUGUCUGAUCAACAUAUGCUGUCAGAUUUAUACAUCUCUCUCUCUCUCUCUCUCUCUCUCUCUCUCUCUCUCUCUCUCUCUCUCUCUCUCUCUCUCUCUCUCUCUCUCUCUCUCUCUAUAUAUAUAUAUAUGACAUAUAUAUAUAUAUGAAAUAGACAACUUUAUCAUUACUUACUAUGUACACCGGAACUAAGGAUACACAGCUUCGAGCCAAAACGGAAGUUGUGUGACGUCAUGUGAAAAGGGUUUAUUGGAGAAACUAAACCAAAAAUACUUGCUCAGCCCAGA